CACCCCCUGUCGUGUUCGAGUGUGGCCUGGGUAUUUUCUUGAGCCUAAUGACUACCCUGGGGUCGCAGAAGCGAGGCGGUUGUGCAUGUCCGUCACCGAGCGGGAAGCCUGAAGCCUUGUCGAGUGUCCCCACUUGAACCUCCUGGUUCAAGAACAAAAGGCCUUAAACGGCACAUAUGGGGGGUGU
rnacentral:other from 1 species